rnacentral:rRNA from 1 species
AGUGAACGCUGGCGGCGUGCCUAACACGUGCAAGUCGAGCGGACGCACGGGAAGCGCGCGUCCCUGCGGUUGGCGGCGGGCGGGCGGGUGACGCGUGCAUAGGCUACUUCUAUUACGGGGGUGACUUCGGGGGACCACUGCCGCUACUACCGCAUACUAUGAACCGCAGGAAUCAGAGGUGCUUGGGGCCCUGCCCGUCUCAAUGAGCCGGAGUCGGAUUAGCUAGUUGGCGAGGUAACGGCUCACCAAGGCAACGAUCCGUAGCUGGUCUGAGAGGAUGAUCGGCCACACUGGAACUGAGACACGGUCCAGACUCCUACGGGAGGCAGCAGUGGGGAAUAUUCGGCAAUGGGCGCAAGCCUGACGCAGCCAUGCCGCGUGAGUGAUGAAGGUCUUCGGAUCGUAAAGCCCUUUUGUUGGGAAAGAACAUAAGUGGGUUAAUCUGUGCCUAUUUUGACGGUACCUAAUCAGUAAGCCCCGGCUAACUUCGUG